rnacentral:rRNA from 1 species
UACGGAGGAUCCAAGCGUUAUCCGGAAUCAUUGGGUUUAAAGGGUCCGUAGGUGGGCCGUUAAGUCAGAGGUGAAAUCCUGCAGCUCAACUGUAGAAUUGCCUUUGAUACUGGCGGCCUUGAAUUACUGUGAAGUGGUUAGAAUAUGUAGUGUAGCGGUGAAAUGCAUAGAUAUUACAUAGAAUACCAAUUGCGAAGGCAGAUCACUAACAAUAUAUUGACACUGAUGGACGAAAGCGUGGGUAGCGAACAGG